AUGGUGGAUACGCUUUGUGAUGGACUGCCCAACAGUUUUAAAUGUAAAUUGAAAGACCCCAGUACUGGUCCAAGCCCUGAAGACUGCACCCAGGAAAGUGGAGGUAUGGACAGAGGCAGCCGGUGCCUGAGGAAGCUCCACGGGGCAGGCAAGGCCCCCACGUCCAGUCUCAGCCCCUCUUUUGGCCACAUGUGGGUAUUCGUUCCUCCUUUUGGUCUUCCUGAAAACACUCUUUUGACCCUCCUGCGCUUGGUGAAGAUUCAUAGUAACCUAAGGUGGCCCCUUCUCUGCAAAUGUUGCCGGACCUUCCAGCCCAUUGGCUGCUGCCUCAGUCUCCCUCCACCGUCCCGGCCCCGCCCCCCCCCCCCCCCGACAUUGCCUCAAGUUGCCCCUGGGUGGCUCGGAAGCAGAUGUGCAGCCAGCAACCAGGGGGGCUGCGCCGAGGCGGGAGCCACCCCGCGAGGCGCGGGCAUGGGCAGGGCUGGCGGGUGGCUGGGAAGCCAUUUGCAUCGAGUGCCUGGUUCCCGGAGCGGGGGACUGGGAUUGUUCCUGCUGGAAUCCGGGGGGUUCACCCGCCUGGGCCGCCGGCUUGCAGGGAUCCCGCCGAAGCCUGUCGCCCCCAGAGCACCGGUUCUCAUCUCGGGAACCCCAGGUGCCCCCACGCUACCCGGAUGUGGGGCGGGGAUCUCAGGGGCGGGGUCCUCCAGGGACGACAGUUCCCACCCGGCCCAGGAACCCCCGACUUCCCGGCUUAGGAAAGCUGGGCUCGGCGGAGGCCCAGGGCUGCCCAGCUCUGCCUCCUCGGGGGCAGGCGUCAGAGACAGGAGAGAACCCCCGAACCCCGCGCCAGCCUGUCCCGGGCCCCGGCCCAUCGGCCCCACUGGCCCUCCCUGCACCCUUCCGGUCUCCUAUUGGCCAAUCUAGGGGUCUCGGACAAAGUGCAGCGACCACGGCCCCUCAGAUCCCGCCGCCUCCUCGAGGCGGAGGCCCCUGCUCCAGAGCCCGCCAAGCCCCGGCGAUUCGCGGUACCCGGGCCACAGGGCCCGCCAUGGGCGCUGCGAGGCCUGAGGUCGCUGUAUCCGGUGGCCUCUGCGGUUCCACCACCCCCACCGCGAGAUGGGCGGUCUCUGGGGAACACCGCCCGCCCGCCCGCAUGACCGCGCUGGCCUUGGAGAGGGAGCCAGGGGACCCAACCGGCUUGUGGCGCUGCUGGGUGCGCCCGGAGAAACCGACCCGGGACCGGGGAAAAGGGGUGGAGGCCCGGCAGUCGGGCCACCUCGGAGCUGCGGAGCUCAGGAAAGGCCAGCACUAAUUUACUCAAACAGCAAAAUUUAAAAGGAAAUUUGAGACAGUAAUAGCAGCGACAUCUCAGAGAACGACAGGAAAAAAAAAGUUUUGAAUCAGGCUUUCGUGCAGGGACUCCGAUUUUGCAAUAAGCGCUUAAUUAAAAAUAAAAUAUAUUGAUGCGGUAGGCAAGUCGCGUUCCUGGGAAGGUAAAAACACAGUGGACUCCCCCACACCCCAGAUGCUCCACCUGCCUGCUGUAAUUACAGGGCUUCAGAGAGGAGGGAAAAAACACGACAGAGAGAAAUCUGCUUGCAUAUUUUUCUUCUAUUGUGCUGAGCUCAUUUGAAUUAUAAUGUGUUGCAGGCCGGAGAAGGAAAUUUUGUGCCUUGAAUAAUGAAUUCCCCUGGAGCCCACGGUACCUGUACUUCUCUUUAGUGUCCACUGAGAAUAACGUGUUCGACAUUCAAGUGACAACACUGGAAAGCAUUUCAAAGCCCUGGAGCCCCAGAACGCUGUACACCCCGACGGCUCUUCUGCCUGCCCUCUCUUUGGCUUCCAAAUGCAGCAAGCUCUUUCUUUACUUAAAAUGUGUUCAUCUUUCACACGCAUCCUGGAUGUACCACAGAAAGACAGUACAGAUAGGUAGGCUCUUAUUUCUGAAGCUGAGCUGGUCCCGCCCAGCACAAAGCUUUAAAGCUGCUAAGUCUCCAGGAUAUUAUCCAGUUUUUAAAAAUGGAAAAACUGGGAACAGGGAGGCUCAAUAUCUUGUCCCAGGCCCAAACAAGCUUUUCUGGAGUCAGUAUCAUUCAACUGGCUCAGGCUGGAUUUUCAUAAGAAAAGAUAAUAAACAUUUACUAAUGUAAUAAAAUAGACACCUUUUAAGUCACAAGCAGUAUCCAAACCUUUGGGACAUUCUAUGGUGCUGAACAGCUAUUUCAUAGAGGCUUUAUGUUAAGGAGCAAGUGCAGAAAAAAAUCUGAAAAUCUCAGUAAGAUGAGAAAACGAAAGCUUUACAAAAUGGUAGAAGAAAGUAGUCUCUCAUGCCUAAACUUCCAAAUAAGUUUUUGUUUGUUUGUUUUUGGGUUUUUAGUUGAGCAUUCUUUCUGGUUUGAAAUAGAUUCAGAAGGCUUUUUAAAACAAGUCACUUUUGGCCAAAUAUAUUAAGGUAUAACCAAAUGAUACCAUAGAUCCAUUUAGAAAACAGAAAGUUCUUUACUGACAUGAAAGGAUUUCUAAGACAUAUUCAUAAGUAAAAAAGCAAAUAUACUACUAUUUGUAUGGGAUGAAAAAAUAAAAGAAACAUGUAUAUACAUACUUGUUUGUAUAUGCAUAGACUAUCUCUCUGGGUGGAUGUUGCCUUUUAAGGGGGGAAGGCUGAGGUGGGAGGACAGAGUUUCUCUCCUUUAUCUAAAUCAGGGGUGUCCAAUCUUUUGGCUUCCCUGGGAUAUAUUGGAAGAAGAAGAAUUGUCUUGGGCCACACAUAAAAUACACUAACGAUAGCUGAUGAGCUAAAAAAAUGCAAAAAAAUCUCACAGUGUUUUUAGAAAGUUUCUGAAUUUGUGUUGGGCCACAUAUGGCCUUGAGGGCCACAGGUUGGACAAGCUUAAUCUAAAUCCUUUGUUAUUUCAGUUUUAAACAAUGUAAAUGAAUUGUUUGCUUAAAAAAUAAAUUAAAUGUAAUAAGUAUUAAUAUCAUUCAAGUGAUAACACAGCCAAGGAAUGACAAGGGUUAACUGAUAAUCCUGAUUUUUACAGGUAAUUGUGGUCAUUACUUCUACAUCUUUUAUCAUGUCUUUUAACCACUUGCCAAAGGAGGCGCUGAUGUGGAGUUUUCUCCUCUGCCUGCCCUCUGCUCUGCUCUAACACAGGCCCAAAUAGGCAGGGAAAUGACCCCGCAAUGGGUAUAGGAAAAAAUAGAAAAAGGAAACAAAGACUAGGUUUAAUCAACAAGUUAACAAAGGACAGCUGACUGCACUCAUUUACUUUCUGAGCUAGGACAUUUUCUUCGUGUCCUGAGAACUAUUUCAGGACUUUUUUUAAGUCCCUACUUAUUAACAUUCUAAGAGCUCUGAACUGAAAUGCAGAGAACC
ensembl:lincRNA